UGAUACGUGUCUGUUGAUCACGUGUUCAACCUGUGCACGUUACCACAUUUCCGGCAGCGAGCACGAGCAAUUGUUUCAAGAAGUACUGUUGCUGUGUGAUUGUAAUACUGAUAUUCUUUCGCGCCUAAAGUUUUGUGAGCUGGUGUAUCUUUUUGAAGAGAUAUCUCCUCUGAAGAGCUGAGAGAAAAGCUGAUAUCUCCUCUGAGCUGACUUCUCCAUAUUGCAUAAUUGUGUGCAUAGUUUUUUCAAGUAUUAGACGAAACUUUUUUAAAGUCAUACAGGCCAUUUUUCAUGCACAAAAUGUGAAGAAGAGGGUGAAAUGUUUAAUCAUGUAUUACGGAGACAGAACGUUUUUGCAAAAGAACUGAUCAUACAUUUAGAACUACUGCUCAACCGGAACAUCAUAUUGGCAAAAGUAUACUAUUAGAUAUACCUAACUUUAACAUGAUAGAUAAUGUACCAAUAGAUUACAUGCAUAAUCUUUUAUUAGGUGGUAUGAAAAGGCUCCUUUGUCAUAAACGGUAUGACUGGAUUUAUGGUAAACCACCCCAUAAAUUACGAGCUCGCGAUGUAAAUAAAAUUUCAGAAAAUCUUCUAAAAUUAAAGCAAUACGUUCCUUAUGAGUUUUUUUUAGAAAAACACGUUCUAUAAUUGAGUGUAAGAGAUAUAAAGCCACGGAAUAUAGAUUUUUUUUGCUCUAUUCUGGUCCUAUAGUUUUGAAAAAGGUUUUAUCAUCUAAAAUUUAUAAUAAUUUCAUAACAUUAAGUCUUGCUAGUUCUAUAAUGAUAAGUCAAUGUUAUUCGAGAAAUGAAGAUUAUGUAAUAUAUGCUCACAGUUUGAUGAAACACUUUGUCUGUCAGUCUAUUCAAAUUUACGGUCCGGAUUUUGUAUCACACAACAUACAUAACUUUUUGCAUUUAAGCGACUGUGUAAAAUUAUAUGGUUCACUUGACAAUUUUAGCGCUUUUCCUUUUGAAAAUUAUAUGCAACAAUUAAAGAAGAAAGUUCGUAAAUCAGCUCAGCCUUUACAGCAAGUUAUAUGUACAUCGCGUGCUUGAGGAAAGUAAUAUUGCUCAACAUAACUUUAAUAAUAUCUAAUAUAAUAUAAGUGUUCGAUAUACGACCUAUAUGAUUCACGCCGGACACCGAUCGCGGUGAUAUCAUUGUUUUCGUUCUCGUAUCAUCUCGGUGAAAUUCGGCGUAUUCCGAAAACACGGACGAGUGGGGAAAUGAGCCUCGACGGUUUCCAUCGAUGUGUCCGUGAUAUACUUCUGUUACAACAGUCGCGCGAAUAACAAGUAAGACCUUCACAACAACCGGCGAGCGAACGAACGAACAUUGUACAUCGAUCUACUCGGCACCGCAACAAUAAAUCUCGAUCUUGAGAAUUAAAUUUGAUUGCAUAUGUUACGUGGAUUUCCCCGUCACAUCACAGUUUGGCGAGACAAUACAAUUAAGAGAAUUACGGACAUCAAAAUACUCGCAUCACGCAUACGAGAUCACAUUUUCUCGUACAAUAAGCGAUUAAUAAUAUAAGCGAGUAGUUUGGGCACUUAUGACACUUAUAAAAAAGCGCAUCAAAAGGCAAACAAAACCAAAAGUACAAACAUUCUUACUUCUAAUAAUGAAGAGUUGAAAGAGAAAAGAAAACGUAAUACAAAAACUAAAAAACGCAAUAACAAAUCUGAAAGUGAAUCGUCCUUCUCUGAAAUAGAUAGAUCAUCAUCAGAUGAUGAUGCACUAUAUCCUGACGUUCCAAAUUUUAACGAACAAAUUGACUCAAACAAUAGAAAGAAAAAUCAAAUAGAAAAUAACACUCAUAAGUUCAAAGUUACUGUUGAUACUAUUUCUAAUUCUGGUACUAGUACUUCUAUUUCUAAUAUUGUUGAGUCAUAUCAUAAAAACCCGGCUUUGGAAUUAAAUUCUGAAUUUGGAAAACGGAUUUGUAGAGAAUUACACAUUCUCAGUUUGAAAAUGGAUGAUAUUUUCGAAGGUAUUAAUGUUCUACUAAAAAAUAAAGCAGAUCUAGUACAAAAUGUUGUAUGUAAUGAAAUUCCCGAAAUUAUGCAAUCAUUUCCUGUAAAUGAUAAUUCUUUGGCUGAAUUGGAGAACUGGUUAAUGACAUCUGAAAAUAAUAAAACAAUUUUGGUAAGAGAAAUUAAAAUA